rnacentral:rRNA from 1 species
GGGCCCGCACAAGCGGCGGAGCAUGCGGCUUAAUUCGAUGCAACGCGAAGAACCUUACCUAGGCUUGACAUAUAGCGUUUACCGGCAGAGAUGUCGGGUCCUUCGGGGCGCUAUACAGGUGGUGCAUGGCUGUCGUCAGCUCGUGUCGUGAGAUGUUGGGUUAAGUCCCGCAACGAGCGCAACCCUCGUUCUAUGUUGCCAGCAAGUAAUGUUGGGGACUCAUAGGAGACUGCCGGGGUCAACUCGGAGGAAGGUGGGGACGACGUCAAGUCAUCAUGCCCCUUAUGUCUAGGGCUGCACGCAUGCUACAAUGGCUGGUACAAAGGGCUGCAAGACCGCAAGGUGGAGCGAAUCCCAUAAAGCCAGUCUCAGUUCGGAUUGGGGUCUGCAACUCGACCCCAUGAAGUUGGAGUCGCUAGUAAUCGCAGAUCAGCAACGCUGCGGUGAAUACGUUCCCGGGCCUU